UCACUUUUAAUUUUGGAUUUCUGCUUUAAAUAUUCUUCUCUAUUUAUUUUAUUUAUAUUUUUUUUCAUUCUUUGUAACUUUUGAGAUGUUUCAAGAUGUUUUUUUAACUGUUUUGUGUUUGUUUGUGUGGUUUGUGUUUUUAACACUGCAUUGCUCUGAAAUUUCCCCUUUUCAGAAGCAGGUAACCAGGUGUACCAAAUUAUCAACAUGGAGAUAUUAACAUUUUUACACGGAGAUCUAGUGACUUUUUAUUUUCUACAGUUUUAGCAUAAUUGAUCCGAAGACAACUUCAGACAUUUCCAAAAUGGACUCCCACAAGUGCAGUCGUGCGUCGUUUAGAAAGGUUUUCCUUACAAUGUGAACAUGGAGAUAUGCUAUUUUGUUUGAAUCAUUUGUACGAUUCCGAGUAUCAAUCAAGGACUAUUAAUGUUUUUUAUGGCAAUUGUAUCUUCACCUGUAAAAGAAGUACAUCCUGCUUAUUUUUACAACUGUUAACCGGAUUGACCACUGAAAAAGGGUUUUUUUUUCUGAUGAAAGUCUCUCUCUUGUCGAGUGAAGAGUGUGACGAGCGUGAACUAAAGACUGCAAGUUUGCGUUUCAUUGAAGAACAUCAGACUAAACGAACUGACCAGAUUUUGUGAAGAAAUUUCAAAAAUACCGCAUACGGAAAAAGGCUGAAUCAAAAUCAUAAUCGUUUAUUCAGAGGAGUUAAACUAAAAGAAAAGGACAUUUUUAAAGAAACAAAGGAAGAUGGAAGAAGAACAGAA